rnacentral:rRNA from 1 species
GAGUUUGAUCCUGGCUCAGAUUGAACGCUGGCGGCAUGCCUUACACAUGCAAGUCGAACGGCAGCACGGGAGCAAUCCUGGUGGCGAGUGGCGAACGGGUGAGUAAUAUAUCGGAACGUGCCCAGUCGUGGGGGAUAACGCAGCGAAAGCUGUGCUAAUACCGCAUACGAUCUAUGGAUGAAAGCGGGGGACUCGCAAGGGCCUCGCGCGAUUGGAGCGGCCGAUAUCAGAUUAGCUAGUUGGCGGGGUAAAAGCCCACCAAGGCGACGAUCUGUAGCUGGUCUGAGAGGACGACCAGCCACACUGGAACUGAGACACGGUCCAGACUCCUACGGGAGGCAGCAGUGGGGAAUUUUGGACAAUGGGCGCAAGCCUGAUCCAGCAAUGCCGCGUGCAGGAUGAAGGCCUUCGGGUUGUAAACUGCUUUUGUACGGAACGAAACGGUCCUUUCUAAUACGAGGGGCUAAUGACGGUACCGUAAGAAUAAGCACCGGCUAACUACGUGCCAGCAGCCGCGGUAAUACGUAGGGUGCGAGCGUUAAUCGGAAUUACUGGGCGUAAAGCGUGCGCAGGCGGUUAUAUAAGACAGAUGUGAAAUCCCCGGGCUCAACCUGGGACCUGCAUCUGUGACUGUAUAGCUAGAGUACGGUAGAGGGGGAUGGAAUUCCGCGUGUAGCAGUGAAAUGCGUAGAUAUGCGGAGGAACACCGAUGGCGAAGGCAAUCCCCUGGACCUGUACUGACGCUCAUGCACGAAAGCGUGGGGAGCAAACAGGAUUAGAUACCCUGGUAGUCCACGCCCUAAACGAUGUCAACUGGUUUGUUGG